UACGGAGGGGGCUAGCGUUGUUCGGAAUUACUGGGCGUAAAGCGCGCGUAGGCGGCUUUGUAAGUUAGAGGUGAAAGCCCGGAGCUUAACUCCGGAACUGCCUUUAAGACUGCAUCGCUAGAAUUGUGGAGAGGUGAGUGGGAAUUUCCCCGGUGAGUGAUGAGACGGGUUGGAAAAUUCGGACUGAUGAUGAAGUUACGGUAACGGG
rnacentral:rRNA from 1 species